AUUGAACGCUGGCGGCAUGCCUUACACAUGCAAGUCGAACGGCAGCACGGGUGCUUGCACCUGGUGGCGAGUGGCGAACGGGUGAGUAAUACAUCGGAACGUACCUUAUCGUGGGGGAUAACGCAGCGAAAGCUGUGCUAAUACCGCAUACGCCCUGAGGGGGAAAGCGGGGGAUCGAAAGACCUCGCCCGACUAGAGCGGCCGAUGCCUGAUUAGCUUGUUGGUGGGGUAAAAGCCCACCAAGGCGACGCUCAGUAGCUGGUCUGAGAGGACGAUCAGCCACACUGGGACUGAGACACGGCCCAGACUCCUACGGGAGGCAGCAGUGGGGAAUUUUGGACAAUGGGGGCAACCCUGAUCCAGCAAUGCCGCGUGAGUGAAGAAGGCCUUCGGGUUGUAAAGCUCUUUUGUCAGGGAAGAAACACCGGCUCUAACACAGUCCGGGAAUGACGGUACCUGAAGAAUAAGCACCGGCUAACUACGUGCCAGCCGCCGCAGUAA
rnacentral:rRNA from 1 species